GAUGAACGCUGGCGGCGUGCCUAAUACAUGCAAGUCGAGCGAACAGACGAGGAGCUUACUCCUCUGACGUUAGCGGCGGACGGGUGAGUAACACGUGGAUAACCUACCUAUAAGACUGGGAUAACUUCGGGAAACCGGAGCUAAUACCGGAUAACAUGUUGAACCGCAUGGUUCAACAGUGAAAGACGGUCUUGCUGUCACUUAUAGAUGGAUCCGCGUCGCAUUAGCUAGUUGGUAAGGUAACGGCUUACCAAGGCAACGAUGCGUAGCCGACCUGAGAGGGUGAUCGGCCAAACUGGAACUGAGACACGGUCCAGACUACUACGGGAGGCAGCAGUAGGGAAUCUUCAGCAAUGGGCGAAAGCCUGACGGAGCAACGCCGCGUGAGUGAAGAAGGUCUUCGGAUCGUAAAACUCUGUUAUUAGGGAAGAACAAAUGUGUAAGUAACUAUGCACGUCUUGACGGUACCUAAUCAGAAAGCCACGGCUAACUACGUG
rnacentral:rRNA from 1 species